CACGUAGGGCGCAAGCGUUGUCCGGAAUUAUUGGGCGUAAAGAGCUCGUAGGCGGUCUGUCGCGUCUGCUGUGAAAACUCGGGGCUUAACCCCGGGCCUGCAGUGGGUACGGGCAGACUAGAGUGCGGUAGGGGAGACUGGAAUUCCUGGUGUAGCGGUGAAAUGCGCAGAUAUCAGGAAGAACACCUAUGGCGAAGGCAGCUCUCUGGGACGGUACUGACGCUGAGACGCGAAAAGCGUGGGGAGCGAACAGG
rnacentral:rRNA from 1 species